rnacentral:misc_RNA from 1 species
GACAGAGGGUGCGAGCGUUACUCGGAGUGACUGGGCGUAAAGGGCGCGUAGGUGGGACGUGAGGUGGGAUGUCAAACAUCUGGGCUUAGCCUGGAUGGGUCAUCCGAGACGGACGUUCUUGAGUACGGGAGAGGGCAGUGGAAUUUCCGGCGUAGCGGUGAAAUGCGUAGAGUUCGGAAGGAACACCGGUGGCGAAGGCGGCUGCCUGGCCUGAGACUGACACUGAGGCGCGAAAGCGUGGGGAGCGAACAGG